AUGGAGUUUGCUCCUCCGCCACCGUGGCAUUAUAAUUUAGACCCACCGUCGUAUGAAUUCCCGGCGAUACGUCCCUGGUAUCCGCCACCGCCUCCGCCAUCUUCAGAUGAUGAAUGGAAAGUCACGGUAUCGCUCGUCGUCUUCUUCGCAGUCUGCAUUCUCGGAGUCGCUUUAAAGGGUUGCCGCAGCACGCAAUCUCACGCUGAGGCAGAGGCAGCCGCUGCCGCCCGGCCGCUACCGCGGCUGGAAUCCCUCCGGCAACUCGAUGAGGUGCAGCUGGCCGUGGUCCGUCCUACAAACCCGACGGCCCGCCUCCCGGCGUUCAAGUACAACCAGUCCGUGAAGCACAACAUGACGGGUGGAGGAGAGGAAGCGGCUACGUGCUCGGUGUGCCUCGGCGUGUUCCAGCCAGGGGAGGCGGUGCGGCUGUUGCCGGCGUGCAUGCACCUGUACCACGUGGAGUGCAUCGACCCGUGA
rnacentral:rRNA from 1 species